AUUGAACGCUGGCGGCAGGCCUAACACAUGCAAGUCGAGCGGUAACAGAAAGUAGCUUGCUACUUUGCUGACGAGCGGCGGACGGGUGAGUAAUGCUUGGGAACAUGCCUUGAGGUGGGGGACAACAGUUGGAAACGACUGCUAAUACCGCAUAAUGUCUACGGACCAAAGGGGGCUUCGGCUCUCGCCUUUAGAUUGGCCCAAGUGGGAUUAGCUAGUUGGUGAGGUAAUGGCUCACCAAGGCGACGAUCCCUAGCUGGUUUGAGAGGAUGAUCAGCCACACUGGGACUGAGACACGGCCCAGACUCCUACGGGAGGCAGCAGUGGGGAAUAUUGCACAAUGGGCGCAAGCCUGAUGCAGCCAUGCCGCGUGUGUGAAGAAGGCCUUCGGGUUGUAAAGCACUUUCAGUCAGGAGGAAAGGUUAACNGNGUUAAUACCCGUUAGCUGUGACGUUACUGACAGAAGAAGCACCGGCUAACUCCGUGCCAGCAGCCGCGGUAAUACGGAGGGUGCGAGCGUUAAUCGGAAUUACUGGGCGUAAAGCGUACGCAGGCGGUUUGUUAAGCGAGAUGUGAAAGCCCCGGGCUCAACCUGGGAACUGCAUUUCGAACUGGCAAACUAGAGUGUGAUAGAGGGUGGUAGAAUUUCAGGUGUAGCGGUGAAAUGCGUAGAGAUCUGAAGGAAUACCGAUGGCGAAGGCAGCCACCUGGGUCAACACUGACGCUCAUGUACGAAAGCGUGGGGAGCAAACGGGAUUAGAUACCCCGGUAGUCCACGCCGUAAACGAUGUCUACUAGAAGCUCGGAGCCUCGGUUCUGUUUUUCAAAGCUAACGCAUUAAGUAGACCGCCUGGGGAGUACGGCCGCAAGGUUAAAACUCAAAUGAAUUGACGGGGGCCCGCACAAGCGGUGGAGCAUGUGGUUUAAUUCGAUGCAACGCGAAGAACCUUACCUACACUUGACAUACAGAGAACUUACCAGAGAUGGUUUGGUGCCUUCGGGAACUCUGAUACAGGUGCUGCAUGGCUGUCGUCAGCUCGUGUUGUGAGAUGUUGGGUUAAGUCCCGCAACGAGCGCAACCCCUAUCCUUAGUUGCUAGCAGGUAAUGCUGAGAACUCUAAGGAGACUGCCGGUGAUAAACCGGAGGAAGUGGGGAC
rnacentral:rRNA from 1 species